AAGUCGUAACAAGGUCUCCGUUGGUGAACCAGCGGAGGGAUCAUUACCGAGUUUUCAACUCCCAAACCCCAUGUGAACUUAUACCAUUUACAACCGUUGCUUCGGCGGGUUCUCGCCCCGGGCUUUACACCCCGGAACCAGGCGGCCCGCCGGGGGACCCAAACCGACACAAGAUACGUAAUGCUGAACAACUCUUAGCAAUGGAUAUCUUGGUUCUCGUAACGAUGAA
rnacentral:misc_RNA from 1 species